CUCAUCGCCAUCUCGCUUCACGAUCUUCACAAACUACUUCUCGUAGGUUGUAUUAUCGCGGAAAAGGUAGUUGUCGAUAUUGAGCAGCUCUUUCCUGAAGGAAAAGGUACUACUACAUUUUAUCCAAAUAACGAAUCAUCUCACCGUACA